CCCGCUGAACUUAAGCAUAUCAAUAAGCGGAGGAAAAGAAACCAACAGGGAUUGCCUUAGUAACGGCGAGUGAAGCGGCAAGAGCUCAAAUUUGAAAUCUGGCCAUCUGGUCCGAAUUGUAAUUUGUAGAGGAUGCUUCGAAUAUAGUCUUGGUCUAAGUUCCUUGGAACAGGAUGUCAUAGAGGGUGAGAAUCCCGUAUGUGACUAGGUGUCUAUGUUCAUGUGAAGCUCCUUCAACGAGUCGAGUUGUUUGGGAAUGCAGCUCAAAAUGGGUGGUAAAUUUCAUCUAAAGCUAAAUAUUGGCCAGAGACCGAUAGCGCACAAGUAGAGUGAUCGAAAGAUGAAAAGCACUUUGGAAAGAGAGUUAAAUAGUACGUGAAAUUGUUGAAAGGGAAGCGCUUGCAAUCAGACUUGCCUGCAGUUGAUCAUCCGAUGUUCUCAUCGGUGCACUCAAUUGCACUCAGGCCAGCAUCGGUUUUGGUGGUUGGAUAAAGUCUUUGGGAAUGUAGCUUCCUUCGGGGAGUGUUAUAGCCCAAGGUGAAAUGCAACCUGCUAGGACCGAGGACCGCGCUUCGGCUAGGAUGCUGGCGUAAUGGUUGUAAGCGACCCGUCUUGAAACACGG
rnacentral:rRNA from 1 species